UAGCAGUAGGGAAUCUUCCACAAUGGACGCAAGUCUGACGGAGCAACGCCGCGUGAGUGAAGAAGGUUUUCGGAUCGUAAAACUCUGUUGUUAGAGAAGAACAAGUGCUAGAGUAACUGUUAGCGCCUUGACGGUAUCUAACCAGAAAGCCACGGCUAACUACGUGCCAGCAGCCGCGGUAAUGCGUAGGUGGCAAGCGUUGUCCGGAUUUAUUGGGCGUAAAGCGAGCGCAGGCGGUUCCUUAAGUCUGAUGUGAAAGCCCCCGGCUCAACCGGGGAGGGUCAUUGGAAACUGGGGAACUUGAGUGCAGAAGAGGAGAG
rnacentral:rRNA from 1 species